UGACUCAGGACGAUCGCCCGUGCAGGAGCCAUGUGUGGUGCUAUGGAAUAUAUGUCGCGACAUCGUGAGGCCAGGACACACAAAGGAGGUUGUGAUUUGCUGCUUGAAAUGGAUGCCCGACGACUGAUCCGCAAACAGCUGCAGCCGGCAAGGCCUAUUCGUCGCAUUCUACCUGGCUCCGGAGCCGUAUUCAUAAACUUUCAGGCUACAUUCACCGAUUGUAGAGACAACUUUAAAGAUCACUGUAAUAUGUGGUGCUCCAUUGAGAACCUUCAUCAUGUUUUCAAGGAUCCAGUAAUUGAAAAACCACUAGAAGAACCACAAUGGAACAAUAAAAAAGAUAGAAUUACGUACACCAGAGACUUCCUGUUGCAGCUAUCUAACGUGUCUGUGAGCAGAAAGAAGCCAAAGUAUUUGCCAGAUCUUCCAAUCAUACUUCAGGAUCCGGAAUUCUGGCAUGUGUAUGAAGUUCACCAAGAUAGACAGCAGAUGGUGCUAAAGUGCCAUAAAUGGAAACUAGAAUCUGACAUAGACUGGAAGUGAGGCAGCUGUCCACAAGAUGGCGCUUGUAAUCAUUUGUGUUCCCAUUACUUGCCUCCAGUCCCAUCAAUAGGAUUGACUAUGUUCUUGUUUCUGUACAUUGAAAAAGAUGUUUCCUCCUCUUCAAUCUCCAACCUGUACUGUGCCAUUGACCCCUUUUCACCAGCGGACAUGCAGAACACACAUCUCUCUGCAAGACUAGAUCAUCGCACCUACCAUCUGUCACAGGAUGACGCACUCAUUUUUGGCUAAUAAGCAGCAAGGUUAUUGUGUAUUAUUCUCCUAAUAAAAAAAAGAUAUUCUGCUACUAUUGCAGCGCUGGAGAAACGUUUCUAGCUCUGUGCAUUUAAGA